GAUGAAGAACGCAGCGAAAUGCGAUACUUGGCGUGAAUUGCAGAAUCCCGUGAACCAUCGAGUCUUUGAACGCAAGUUGCGCCCGAAGCCAUCAGGUUGAGGGCACGUCUGCCUGGGCGUCACAUAUCGUUGCCCAAUGCCUAUUGCAGUGCAAUAGGAAUUUCUAGGGCGAAUGAUGGCUUCCCGUGAGCGUUGUUGCCUCGCGGUUGGUUGAAAAUCGAGUCCUUGGUAGGGUGUGCCAUGGUAGAUGGUGGUCGAGUUAGAACGAUACCGAUCAUGUGCAUGCUCCCCAAAAUAUGGCCUCUAUGACCCACACGCGUCUUUUGACGCUCAUGACGAGACCUCAGGUCAGGCGGGGCUACCCGCUGAAUUUAAGCAUAUCAAUAAGCGGAGGA
rnacentral:misc_RNA from 1 species